rnacentral:lncRNA from 1 species
AGAAGUCUACUGAGACUGGCUUCUUUUCACCAACAAAAAGACAAAGCCCUUCAAGGAGAAGUCUUUAGGCCUAAUUGCCUCAUUUUUGCCUGGAACAUGGAUGUGAUUUCUGGAGGCGCACCAGCCACUGCAGGGCCCUGUUCAUAAAUUAUGGAUGCUCACAUGUGCAAAGUUAAAGGGCCACAUCUGGUGAGGGCUUUCUUGCUGGUGAGGAUUCUCUGAAGAGUAUUGAGGCAGCAGAGGACAUCACAUGAAGCAGUGGCACAUAAGGGAAGUUUCCUUCUCUUUGGGGAAUCAUAAAUAAAAUAGUGGUGUAAUCAAGGACAGAAGAAAAAAGAGACUUCAGACAGAUUUCUUCCGAGUCACCGGUGGGAGCUUCCCAGGGAGAUGCGGCUUUAUUCCCUCAUGGCAGACAGGAGGAGGAUGCUGAGCGGGAGCUGAUGCCACCUGGCAGCAAUGGUGGCACAGACUGCUGGAGAGGCACAGAUUGGAACCCAAGCCUCAUCAGACGGCAGCUGUGACAGCGGCAUAUUUCAAAAAUGUAUUGCAAAUUUCACACAAGGGGUCUUUAAAAAAAUUUGAAAGUCUCCUUGGCUUUCACAGACUUUUAAUUAAGAGAGAACUCCUCUUCUUUGAAAAUCAAAACACUUUUUGCCUAUUUUAUGUAUCUAAAGGUAGAUGGGAACUUACAGCCACAUUUAAAAAAUUUGCAGUUGAUUAUGUGGUUUUCAAAUUUAAUAACCUACUAUGAAUAAUUAACUCAACAAGAAGAAAAGGGCACAUUGGCACCUCACAAUUAAAAGAGUAAGAGUGAAAUUAU